UACGUAGGCAGCGAGCGUUGUUCGGAGUUACUGGGCGUAAAGGGUGUGUAGGCGGUUUUCUAAGUUUGGUGUGAAAUCUCCCGGCUCAACCGGGAGGGUGCGCCGAAAACUGGGAGACUAGAGUGCGGGAUGGGAGAGUAGAAUUCCUGGUGUAGCGGUGAAAUGCGUAGAUAUCAGGAGGAACACCGGUGGUGUAGACGGCUCUCUGGACCGUAACUGACGCUGAGACACGAAAGCGUGGGUAGCAAACAGG
rnacentral:rRNA from 1 species